CUAGGUGCCCACCCCCCUUCUGGAAACAGUGCAUGCUGCCCUCAGGCCCCUCCCUCCCUGUUGUCCUCAGGGGAAGCCUUCCUGUGUGGUUUCGUGUGCCGGAGGGAGUGCCAAAAUCGAGGAGUUCAGGGCCAGGUGCUCCUUCUCUCCUGUUUCCCAUCAUGUUUCUGUACUUCCUUCCCUCUGCCAGCUUCUUGGACUGCCAUCGAGCAUUCUCUCUUGAAACUUGGAGAGAUCCUGGCCAAUCUCAGCAACCCGCAGCUCCGGAGUCAGGCCGAGCAGUGUGGCACCCUCAUUAGGAGAUGCACAAGACCGGCUUCCCCACUGUCCACGCCGUGAUCCUGCUCGAGGGCACCAUGAACCUGACAGGCGAGACGCAGUCCCUGGUGGAGCAGCUGACGAUGGUGAAGCGCAUGCAGCAUAUCCCCACCCCACUUUUUGUCCUGGAGAUCUGGAAAGCUUGCUUCGUGGGGCUCAUUGAGUCUCCCGAGGGUACGGAGGAGCUCAAGUG
rnacentral:lncRNA from 1 species